AGAGUUUGAUCCUGGCUCAGAUUGAACGCUGGCGGCAUGCUCAACACAUGCAAGUCGAACGGUAACAGGCCUUCGGGCGCUGACGAGUGGCGGACGGGUGAGUAAUGCGUGGGAAUCUGCCUUAUGGCUGGGGACAACCAGUGGAAACGCUGGCUAAUACCGAAUACCGUCUACGGACGAAAGCGGGGGAUCUUCGGACCUCGCACCAUAAGAUGAGCCCACGUCUGAUUAGCUAGUUGGUGAGGUAAUUGCUCACCAAGGCGACGAUCAGUAGCCGGCCUGAGAGGGUGGACGGCCACACUGGGACUGAGACACGGCCCAGACUCCUACGGGAGGCAGCAGUGGGGAAUAUUGGACAAUGGGCGCAAGCCUGAUCCAGCAAUGCCGCGUGUGUGAAGAAGGCCUUCGGGUUGUAAAGCACUUUUGUUAGGGAGGAAAGUCUGGUAGCUAAUAACUGCUAGAUCUGACGUACCUAAAGAAU
rnacentral:rRNA from 1 species